AUGGCAAAUUAUGUUAAUGUCCACUCACACAAUGCUAAGAGAAAAAACAAAGGAUGGAACACACCUCCUAGGGGGUUUAUUAAGCUGAAUGUGGAUGCUUCAUUUGAUCACGACCUGCUAAGGGGCACAGCGGGUGCUGUUCUUCGGGAUGACAAAGGAAACUUCAUUGUUGGUGGAAAUUGGAAAAUUGAAUGGCGUGCCGAUGUUUUAACAGCUGAAGCAUUAGCACUUAGGUUUGGCUUAUUACUGGCACAAAAGACGGGAUGCAAUCGUCUCAUUAUAAACUCUGACAAUAUGAAAUUCAUUGACGCAAUGAAGAACGAAGGACCGUCUGCAGGAGCAGCGGCCGCAGAUUUUGAUGACUGCUACUUUAUGGCUUGCGAUUUUCCACUUACUAGUUUUGAACAUUGUAAUGAGGCGAAUAAAGUAGCCCAUGAGCUUGCUAGUUUAGCAAAAUGUUCCGUGACAAGCGAUUGGAUAGAAGAACCUAUGAAACAAAUUGUUUCUCUUCUUAUUAACGAUGUAACCAUUAUUUUUAAUUAA
rnacentral:rRNA from 1 species